rnacentral:sRNA from 1 species
GCUGGGCUCUGUGGCGCAUGCCUGUAAUUCCAGCAGCUUGGGAGGCUGAGGCAGGAGGAUCGCCAGUUCAAAGCCAGCCUCAGCAAUUUAGUGAGGCCCUAAGCAAUUUAGUGAGACCCUGUCUCAA